rnacentral:rRNA from 1 species
ACCUUCCGGGGUUGUAAUCUUCUUCARUAGGGAAGAAGCGAAGUGAACGGUACCUGGCAGGAUGAAGCGCCGGCUAAACUACGUGCCAGCCAGCCGCGGUAAUACGUAGGGCGCAAGCGUUAUCCUGGAAUUAUUGGGCGUAAAGAGCUCGUAGGCGGUUUGUCGCGUCUGCCGUGAAAGUCCGGGGGCUCAACUCCGGAUCUGCGGUGGGUACGGGCAGACUAGAGUGAUGUAGGGGAGACUGGAAUUCCUGGUGUAGCGGUGAAAUGCGCAGAUAUCAGGAGGAACACCGAUGGCGAAGGCAGGUCUCUGGGCAUUAACUGACGCUGAGGAGCGAAAGCAUGGGGAGCGAACAGGAUUAGAUACCCUGGUAGUCCAUGCCGUAAACGUUGGGCACUAGGUGUGGGGGACAUUCCACGUUUUCCGCGCCGUAGCUAACGCAUUAAGUGCCCCGCCUGGGGAGUACGGCCGCAAGGCUAAAACUCAAAGGAAUUGACGGGGGCCCGCACAAGCGGCGGAGCAUGCGGAUUAAUUCGAUGCAACGCGAAGAACCUUACCAAGGCUUGACAUGGGCCGGACCGGGCUGGAAACAGUCCUUCCCCUUUGGGGCCGGUUCACAGGUGGUGCAUGGUUGUCGUCAGCUCGUGUCGUGAGAUGUUGGGUUAAGUCCCGCAACGAGCGCAACCCUCGUUCCAUGUUGCCAGCGCGUAAUGGCGGGGACUCAUGGGAGACUGCCGGGGUCAACUCGGAGGAAGGUGGGGACGACGUCAAAUCAUCAUGCCCCUUAUGUCUUGGGCUUCACGCAUGCUACAAUGGCCGGUACAAAGGGUUGCGAUACUGUGAGGUGGAGCUAAUCCCAAAAAGCCGGUCUCAGUUCGGAUUGGGGUCUGCAACUCGACCCCAUGAAGUCGGAGUCGCUAGUAAUCGCAGAUCAGCAACGCUGCGGUGAAUACGUUCCCGGGCCUUGUACACACCGCCCGUCAAGUCACGAAAGUUGGUAACACCCGAAGCCGGUGGCCUAACCCCUUGUGGGAGGGAGCUKUG